rnacentral:rRNA from 1 species
UCCGUAGGCGGGUAAUUAAGUCAGAGGUGAAAUCCCACAGCUUAACUGUGGAACUGCCUUAGAUACUGGUUAUCUUGAGUUUUAGUGAAGUAGAUAGAAUGUGUAGUGUAGCGGUGAAAUGCAUAGAUAUUACACAGAAUACCGAUUGCGAAGGCAGUCUACUAACUAACAACUGACGCUAAUGGACGAAAGCGUGGGGAGCGAACAGGAUAGAUACCCUGGUAGUCC